rnacentral:lncRNA from 1 species
AGUGCCUGGCCCAUGUGGACCUCAGCAACUGUGGUGGAUGCUGCGAUGAGAGGCCCCGGGAGACCCCUCCAGUGACAGGCUGGGUGUCCCAGUUGUUCAGGGUGUGGUAAGCGGCCUUCAGCCAUCAGCUGCAACUCGCCAGGGUCACACCCUUCCCUGGGACAGCCCACAUUGCAAAGUCCUGGACAUCCUGGUCCAACCGAGGACAGCCCUGAGGACCACUUCUGUGGCAGAGCUCCCUGUGGGGGACCAGUAGCCGCUGUGCUUGAUGGCAUCACAGCCCCACUCCUGCCUCUUGUGUCUUCCCCUCCACAGGUCCAACAUCACUCCGUGAAAGUCUGCUCCCCACCUAGGAGCCCCCUCGAGCCACAGCAGCCUUGCCAGGUGACUUCUAAUAUUAUCUCCAUUUUAUAGAUGAGGAAACAGAAAUAGGGAAACCAAAUGGCUCACCUAAGGUAUCAGCCAGGACAUGCUGGAGGAGGCCUCAGAUGUAGCCAUCUGCCUCCAAAGCCCUUGACCUAGAGCAAGUACAAUGCCAAAACCAAGGAGUGUGGCUGGAAGGCAAAAGGCCCGAGGGGAGGCUGCCAUGCAAGAUGAGGCUGGCGCUGUUGCCAUAACCAGAGCUCAAGAAAGGAAAGCUGUCCAAAGAAACUGCAUUCAGCCAGAAAGGGAAUUUAUAGGGAUUUGAGGGGACGGAGCCAUUCUGAAGACAAAGCAGAAAUUCUGAUAAAAGAUCCCAAAACAUAGUUUCAAGCUAUCUGGGAUGUGGGGUUUAGGAAAACAGGCCAUGGGUGGUCUUGGUACGGGAGCAAGCACAAAACUGUCUGGGAAAUGUCCCUGAGGAAGGCCACUGUGUCUUCGGGCCAUGAGCAGAGCUUUCCUGCUUUGGGCGAAUGGAGUCUGGGGACAAGUUGAUGACAAUGGAGGGCUGAAGACAGCUUGGGAAUUAGUCUUUCCGAGAUAACUACUGGGUGGGGCAGAUUGUGUGGUCCCGGUCCAAGCCACACAGGAAGCCCACACUGGCUUCUGAGCAGGAGUGUAACAAAAGCCAGAUGACACUGGAAAGACACGUUGGCUGCGUGGUGACCACAGAGGACAGGGUGAGGACGGUGGCAAUGGCAGCCACACAGCAGAGCACCUGGGGUGAGACUGGACCGAGCCAGGAAGAGGCAGGGACUGGCUCUGAAGGCCGAGGGAGGGUUCACAGGAGGGUGGGGAGUGGGCAGGAAGCUGACAUCCAUGGUGACGCAGGGUGGGGCAGGUGGGAGAAAGGUGAAAGAAGAACAGAAGGUCACUUUGGGAUGUAAGUUUGAGACCUUGCUGCUAAGUGAGGCCAAAAAAUUAAAAGAUUUUUAAAAUCUGCUGGUAGCUGGAGAAGGACCCGAGACGUGCAGAUGGGAGUUGUGGCAGUAGUGGCCAUCUUGAGGGACAGACACCGGGAGAAAACGAGUGAUGCGUGCAAGGAGGGGCAUCGCUGAGCCCACACAAGACUCAAGAUGGAUGAGACAGAGGCGGCCUCAGGUGCCUGCAGGUGGAGAGAGAAGCACUGGGAAGCCUGAAGGAGCAUGAGAAAGACUGUUGCUGUAAGACACGGCGCUAUCUAUGGCCUGAAUAUUUGUUAUCUGUUGAAAUCCUAACCCCGAAGGUGAUGGUAUGAGGAGGUGAGGACUUUGGGAUGGGAUGACUGCUCUCAUAAAGGAGGCUAGAGAAAGGCUCCUGGCCCUUUCCAGCAGGCGAGGACACAGAUGCCAUCUUGAACCAGGAAGUGGCCACACCAGACACGGAAUCUGCCAGCACCUGGUUCCUGCACUUCCCAACCUCCAGAUCUGUGAGAAAUAAAUUUCUGUUGUUUACAGCCAUCCACUCUGUGCUUCAGAGACCUGAA